GCGGCUCCUGCACAGUCACCUCUGUGCAGACGGCCCCGGGGUGGGGAGGCCUUCCCCCCUCCGCUCCACAUCGGGGUGGCAGUCCUGGAAGGGAGAGGGGGGACCCCCGCCUCCAGGUCCCGCCUCAGAGCCCGGCCCCUCCAUGCAGCCGUGAGGUCGCCUGUGGCUCCCCUCCCCCUCGGCUCCCCCCCCCUCCGGUCACCGUGUGUCGCUGAUUAUCUGACACUGGUGUCCAUUCUCUUGGUCUCUCUCCCUCUGAGUGACUUCGCUGCGUUUCCAUCUGCCUGUCUCUGUCUCCCUCUCUCGCUGUGCUCUUUGUGCCCACCCCAGCCCCUCUGGGGUUCCUGCCACCCCCUCUGGGGACGUAGGGCAAGGCCUCUGCAGAGAGAGCGCCCACACCCUCGGGCCUCUCCUCCAGCUUCUUUCUGUCCCUGUCCCUGCUCCUACCCCAGCGUCUCCUUCCUCCAACUCUCCCCGACAAGCACGGGCAUCCGAGGGCUCUGCUGGGCUUCCAAGCAAGUCACAGAAGGACACCCAGGAGGAGGCUUCAGAGGGAGAGGCGACCAUGGCUGCCUCUGACUCCUGGGGACCUUCACGCCAACCCCCAGCACUGGGGUGACUACUCCAGACCCGAAUUCUUCCCUCCUCGGAGCAAGGCCUCCCUGGGGAAGGAAAGCCAGGAGAGAAGACGCAGGACGUAAGGCAGGGCAGGAAAGGAGGCGAGGCGGGAAUACGGGGGACAACGAGAGGCAGAGGAAGAAGGAAAACGAUUUUGCAUCUGUGGAAAGAAACCUCCUUUCUGGCCAGAGCUCCCGGUACCAACAAUGCUGUUGAAGUGCAAAUAUCCAGGAGAGAGAAACACAUUGAGCCAAUAACUUCCACUAACCAACAGUAUCAAUGCCUUCCUGUAGUUAGUUUUAGCAGAGAACGUGUUCAGAGAGAUGCAACUACAGAUGGAAUGGCUGCAACAAUUUACAGUCAUCUUGUCCUCAAAUGGAAACAUCCAAAAGCCAAUUUCUAAAUCAAUCACUUAUGAGAAGAAUGGAUUUAUUGUGAACUGAGUCAUGAAUCCUUGCCUGGCACCGGGGAGGGGACCCUCCUUCAAAACAAUGGUCUUGAUAUUUGAGCAAAAUCAGGGUUUGGAGAGAAAGAAGAAGGAAAGAAUGGAUGGUGGAUAGUCUACUGGGAAGAACUAUCACAAAGACAGAUAUGAGAUUUAUAACUGACAACUCUACGUGCUAAAAGACAGCAGAAAAAAAAUGUAUUUACUGUUCUAGGAGAGAAAUAAUUCAAACCUGAAAUGCUAUACCCAGCCAAACUAUCAAUCAAAUGGGAAAGAGAAAUAAAGUCAGUUUCAGCUAGGAAGGAAUCAGAAAGUUUAUCUUCCAUAAAACUUUCAAUGAGUAAAAAAGUAUAUGAAAAUGUAUUCAAUCAAAGCAAAAUAAGAAUUUAAAGAAAGAAUAUCUGUGAUCCAGGAAAAGUGAAAUUAAUUCAGGAAUGCAAUGAAAAUAGCUGGAAACUAUGCAGCAAGUCUAGAAAACCAUAGGUCAAAAUUAAAGUGAGAAAUAUCAAAGAAUUCUACCCUGUAGGUCUUCAAAAUGCAAAUGAGUUUCAUUUCCCUUUUCUAUGAUUAGGAAGGAAACUAGAAAUUUUUGAUCAGAUGAAAACAUACAUUUCUCCUGUCAACCACAACAAAAAUAAAACAGCUAGAAAUUCCAGGGAAAAUAAGUAGCUGCACACCAUCAGCAAAAAUAUGGAGCAGAAUUGAAAGUGGCAUGACAUUGAGCAAUUGAUUGCAAUUGUAAAAAGAAUCCACUUGGCUGUGAGAUUUACAAAGGUUUCCUUCCAGUGGCCCAGUGUACACUUCCUUUUGUAUGGAUCUAUUCAUACAUUUUUGAGGAGUUCAUCAGUAUAUGAUCAUUGUAAUUUUGCAAAUGCUGUGGUUUUUUGUUUGUUUGUUUUGUUUACAGCUUUAUCAUAAAUCUUGGCCAAUAAAUUGGCAAAGUGAGGGAGAUUUUUUUUUUCAAGUUCAAAAGGGGACAAUAUUUACUAUUUAGAAACACAUACCUAAGAUUUUUUUUAAAGUUUGUAAAAUCAAUAGUGAUGUUGUUCAUUGCUGAUAUUGAUAAUGCAUGACUUCCUUUUGCUAUUACAUUCAACGGUUUUUGAUAUAUUGUGAUUUUAUCAUCUCUUGUUUUUCAUGAGAUUUUUGGCACUUGUAACUAUGCACAUAUAAAGUAGACUAAAAAGUUAACUAGAAGGAAAACUCUGAGAAAAAAGGUCAAAGGAAGGAGAAGGAGAAUAGGAAGGAAAAAGAAAAGAAGAAACAUACACAAAGUGGAACAUUACAUGUAUUGAGCAGAAGGCAGGGAAUCCAAUAGAGAAAUGAAAAUUAUCUCUUGCAGGUUGUCUGUGAAUGGAACCAAGUGUGUCACUGCCCUUCCCUGUGUAAAGUGAGGGAGAUUUUAAGAAAUAUUUUAAUUGAUUAUACAUAUUCGUAGGGCACAGAGCUGACUAUCAGCCCCAGUGUCCAAGAUGUGAUGAUCAGAUCGGAGGGAGAUUAAUUAUAAUCACAGAACAAAACGGCAAGGUUACUUGUCUUGAAGAAGUAAAAGUAAUGUUACAGCUGAUAGAAGUUGAGGAGGUUGGAGAGAAAAAGUGGGAAAAAAUGAAGGUGUUCCAAUUUCUCGUUUAUUUAGGGAAGGGAGUUAAUAAAUAGUCUGAAUUUUAUGAAUUUAGAAAUAAAGGUUUUACAAUGACCAAACUAAUAGCAAUGAGCACUCAAAUGUCCAAACUAAUAGCAAUGAGCACUCAAAUGUCCAAAUUAUGUUCUCUAAAUACCAUUUCUCUACUAAAAGUAACUAGAACUCCUUGGAGAAAUGGUUAAUCCAGGUGUGGGGCAGCAAAUGUGCCACCUGAGCUGGGAACAUCUACUCAUAUCAGAAAACGAGGAAGGUACAAAACACUCCUGGAGUCAGGUCAAGAGGACUCAAGAGUGAACUUGAAGAAGCUUUCAUUGGCCAAAGAUAGGACAAUUUGAGCAUCAAUAAGAACAAAAAUGCAAUGGUUUGAAACACAUCAAACAUAAGUUCAUCACGAUACCCAAAGAAAAAGAAACUCAGUGGUAGCUGUCAGAGAAUGCUAGAAAAUCAACUCAUCAUUAUAAAAACCGGCAAUUAAACAAGCUUUAAAGUAAUUAAGAGUCAAGCAAUUAUUUCUGCUUUUCCUCUGCCUUAGGAUAACCAAAUAGUCAAAGGAGAAAUUUCUUUUUAUAGAAGCACUCCAACUGUUCAAGGGUCUAGGCAAUUGUCACCAAGAGCAGCUAGAAUCAUUCACAGAGACAACCAGACAUGAUGUACCUCCUGGUGGGAGUUAACAGAACUAUGUAUAAAGUAUUCUUGCCAGAAAAUUAAAUCUGGAUCUAAGCAGGACUCUAGAUCUAAUUGCCAAUUUACUGGAAAUACAAUGAAUAGAAGAACAUGCUGAACAAUAUCACUGGGGUGCAAUCAUCAAUAUCCAGAGAGUAGAAACUCUAUAAGUCAAACAACCCAGUUUCCUCAACAAAUUACAUUGCAAUGGGAAGGAAGGGCGAGGAACCUAUGGAUUUAAAGAGACUAAAGAGACGUGUCAAGUCAUUCUGGUAUAGAUAUUUAGAUCCUAACUUGAACAAACUGGAAAAAAAUGAUAGUAUAAUUUCAACAGACUGGCUAUAUUGAGGAAUUAUUGUAAUUUUUUAGGUGUGGUAAUAGCAUUGAGGUUAUGGUUUGUUUUUUAAAGAUUCCUUAUUUGUAAGAAAUAUAUACCAAAAUAUACAGAUAAAAUGAUACAAUGCCUAAGAUUUGUUUCAAGAUAAUUGAUGGAUGGGAGUAAGUGGAUAUAUUCAUGAAACGAGAUUGACUCUGGGUUCAUAAUAGAAGCUGGGUUCUGAGUAUACACAGGCUUACUGUACUCUUUCUCUCUGCUUUUAUACAUGCUUGAAGUUUUCCAUAUUAAAAAGUUUCAGAAAAUAAAGGUUUAAGUGUUGUUUAAAGCUAAAUGUUAACCAGUAGAAAACCCAAAAUUGUAAUGUAUCAAAAAUCAGGAGAUGGAGGCAGAGGGUUGAUGGCGGUUAGUGCAAGUGCACUCAGUUUCUUAUUAUAUUGAGAAGAGGGCCCCAGACACUACCUGCAGUGGGAAGUCAGGGCAUAGAGAUAUGCACAGAUGAUUCAGAAUUAUGGAGACAACCACUAGAAACACCCUAAAGUAAUUAUUAAGAGGAGGAGGAGAGGGGAAGGAAGGCUUUCCCUUCUCAUUUUAUAUUAUUUUGUAUUGUGUGAUGCUUUUAACUUAUGCAUAUAUUAGUUUCCUAUUGUGGUAAAAUAUACAUAAUGUAAAUUAUACCAUUUUAGCUAUUUUUAAAUGUACAAUUCAGGGGCAUUAAGUAUAUUCACAAUGUUGUGCAGCACCUCCACUACCCAUUUUCAGAACAUUUUUAUCAUCCUAAAUAGAAACUCUGUACCCCUUAAACAAUAACUCUCCAUUCCUGUCUCCU